rnacentral:rRNA from 1 species
CAUGCAAGUCGAACGCUCCGCAAGGAGAGUGGCAGACGGGUGAGUAACGCGUGGGAAUCUACCUGAUACUACGGAACAACAGAGGGAAACUUCUGCUAAUACCGUAUACGCCCUACGGGGGAAAGAUUUAUCGGUAUCAGAUGAGCCCGCGUAAGAUUAGCUAGUUGGUGGGGUAAUGGCCUACCAAGGCGACGAUCUUUAGCUGGUCUGAGAGGAUGAUCAGCCACACUGGGACUGAGACACGGCCCAGACUCCUACGGGAGGCAGCAGUGGGGAAUAUUGGACAAUGGGCGAAAGCCUGAUCCAGCCAUGCCGCGUGAGUGAUGAAGGCCUUAGGGUUGUAAAGCUCUUUCAGUAGGGAAGAUAAUGACGGUACCUACAGAAGAAGCCCCGGCUAACUUCGUGCCAGCAGCCGCGGUAAUACGAAGGGGGCUAGCGUUGUUCGGAUUUACUGGGCGUAAAGCGCACGUAGGCGGAUUGUUAAGUCAGGGGUGAAAUCCUGGAGCUCAACUCCAGAACUGCCUUUGAUACUGGCAAUCUAGAGUCCGGAAGAGGUGAGUGGAACUCCUAGUGUAGAGGUGGAAUUCGUAGAUAUUAGGAAGAACACCAGUGGCGAANGCGGCUCACUGGUCCGGUACUGACGCUGA